rnacentral:rRNA from 1 species
GACGAACGCUGGCGGCGUGCUUAACACAUGCAAGUCGAACGGAAAGGCCCUGCUUUUGUGGGGUGCUCGAGUGGCGAACGGGUGAGUAACACGUGAGUAACCUGCCCUUGACUUUGGGAUAACUUCAGGAAACUGGGGCUAAUACCGGAUAGGAGCUCCUGCUGCAUGGUGGGGGUUGGAAAGUUUCGGCGGUUGGGGAUGGACUCGCGGCUUAUCAGCUUGUUGGUGGGGUAGUGGCUUACCAAGGCUUUGACGGGUAGCCGGCCUGAGAGGGUGACCGGCCACAUUGGGACUGAGAUACGGCCCAGACUCCUACGGGAGGCAGCAGUGGGGAAUAUUGCACAAUGGGCGGAAGCCUGAUGCAGCAACGCCGCGUGCGGGAUGACGGCCUUCGGGUUGUAAACCGCUUCCGCCUGUGACGAAGCGUGAGUGACGGUAAUGGGUAAAGAAGCACCGGCUAACUACGUGCCAGCAGCCGCGGUGAUACGUAGGGUGCGAGCGUUGUCCGGAUUUAUUGGGCGUAAAGGGCUCGUAGGUGGUUGAUCGCGUCGGAAGUGUAAUCUUGGGGCUUAACCCUGAGCGUGCUUUCGAUACGGGUUGACUUGAGGAAGGUAGGGGAGAAUGGAAUUCCUGGUGGAGCGGUGGAAUGCGCAGAUAUCAGGAGGAACACCAGUGGCGAAGGCGGUUCUCUGGGCCUUUCCUGACGCUGAGGAGCGAAAGCGUGGGGAGCGAACAGGCUUAGAUACCCUGGUAGUCCACGCUGUAAACGGUGGGUACUAGGUGUGGGGUCCAUUCCACGGGUUCCGUGCCGUAGCUAACGCUUUAAGUACCCCGCCUGGGGAGUACGGCCGCAAGGCUAAAACUCAAAGGAAUUGACGGGGCCCCGCACAAGCGGCGGAGCAUGCGGAUUAAUUCGAUGCAACGCGUAGAACCUUACCUGGGUUUGACAUGGAUCGGGAGUGCUCAGAGAUGGGUGUGCCUCUUUUGGGGUCGGUUCACAGGUGGUGCAUGGCUGUCGUCAGCUCGUGUCGUGAGAUGUUGGGUUAAGUCCCGCAACGAGCGCAACCCUUGUUCACUGUUGCCAGCACGUUAUGGUGGGGACUCAGUGGAGACCGCCGGGGUCAACUCGGAGGAAGGUGGGGAUGACGUCAAGUCAUCAUGCCCCUUAUGUCCAGGGCUUCACGCAUGCUACAAUGGCUGGUACAGAGAGUGGCGAGCCUGUGAGGGUGAGCGAAUCUCGGAAAGCCGGUCUCAGUUCGGAUUGGGGUCUGCAACUCGACCUCAUGAAGUCGGAGUCGCUAGUAACCGCAGAUCAGCAACGCUGCGGUGAAUACGUUCCCGGG